UCCGUCUCCAUCCGUCUGUCCGUCUCAGUCACACAGACUGCCGUGUGUGCGUGUCCGUCUCUGUGUGCGUCUGUCUGUCCGUGUGUAUCAGUCUCCGUCCGUGUGUGUCCGUCCGUCUCUCCAUCCGUGUGUGUUUGUGUGUAUUUGUGUCCGUCUGUGUGUGUGUCCGUGUGUCCGUCUGUCUCCGGUGUCAGUGUGUAUAUCCGUCCGUCUCUCCGUCCGUGUGUGUGUAUCCGUGUCUGUCUGUGUUUGUCCGUGCGUAUGUCCGUGUCUGUGUAUAACCGUGUCCGACUGUCCGUCUGUGUGUGUAUCUGUGUCUGUCUGUCAGUGUAUGUGUGUAUGUGUUUGUGAUGGCCGAUAUCAACAAGAUGCAGCAGCCCAUAGGACGACGACCAAGACCAACACAGGACGUAGGAGGCCUUAGGAUGAUGACCCAUAUAAACUCAGGAUGCAGGAGCCUGUAGGAUGAUUAUCGAUAUCUACACAUAGCGUAGGCCAUCACCAGUUAAGAUCUUAAAGGAUGAUGGCCGAUAUCUACACAUGACAGGGGACAUCAACAGUUGAGAUGGGACAGCACAUACCACAGCCUUUGAUAUACCAGUCGUGGUGCACUGGCUGGAACGA